rnacentral:rRNA from 1 species
UACGAAGGGGGCUAGCGUUGCUCGGAAUCACUGGGCGUAAAGGGUGCGUAGGCGGGUCUUUAAGUCAGGGGUGAAAUCCUGGAGCUCAACUCCAGAACUGCCUUUGAUACUGAGGAUCUUGAGUACGGGAGAGGUGAGUGGAACUGCGAGUGUAGAGGUGAAAUUCGUAGAUAUUCGCAAGAACACCAGUGGCGAAGGCGGCUCACUGGCCCGUUACUGACGCUGAGGCACGAAGGCCAGGGGAGCAAACGGG